rnacentral:rRNA from 1 species
UUUAAUAUUAAUAACGUAAUGGAAACACCUGAUACCAUUCCGAACUCAGAAGUGAAACAUUAUAGUGCCGAUGGUAGUAUAUUUUAUAUGCAAGAGUAGGAAAAUGUUAUUA